rnacentral:rRNA from 1 species
UCCUACGGGAGGCAGCAGUGGGGAAUUUUCCGCAAUGGGCGAAAGCCUGACGGAGCAACGCCGCGUGAGGGAUGAAGGCCUCUGGGCUGUAAACCUCUUUUCUCAAGGAAGAAGAUCUGACGGUACUUGAGGAAUAAGCCACGGCUAAUUCCGUGCCAGCAGCCGCGGUAAUACGGAGGAUCCAAGCGUUAUCCGGAUUCAUUGGGUUUAAAGGGUCCGUAGGCGGAUCUUUAAGUCAGUGGUGAAAGCCGACAGCUUAACUGUCGAACUGCCAUUGAUACUGGAGAUCUUGAGUACAAAUGAAGUAGGCGGAAUGAGUCAUGUAGCGGUGAAAUGCAUAGAUAUGACUCAGAACACCGAUUGCGAAGGCAGCUUACUAACAUGUAACUGACGCUGAGGGACGAAAGCGUGGGGAGCGAACAGGAUUAGAUACCCUGGUAGUCCACGCCGUAAACGAUCAUCACUCGCUGUUGGCGAUAUACUGUCAGCGGCCAAGCGAAAGUAUUAAGUGAUGCACCUGGGGAGUACGCCGGCAACGGUGAAACUCAAAUGAAUUGACGGA